rnacentral:rRNA from 1 species
GACGAACGCUGGCGGCGUGCCUAAUACAUGCAAGUCGAACGCAUUUUCUUUCACCGUAGCUUGCUACACCGAGAGAAACUGAGUGGCGAACGGGUGAGUAACACGUGGGUAACCUGCCCAUAAGCGGGGGAUAACACUUGGAAACAGGUUCUAAUACCGCAUAAUUCGAUUUACCGCAUGGAAAAUGGAUGAAAGGCGCUUUUGCGGCACUGAUGGAUGGACCCGCGGUGGAUUGGCUAGUCGGUGGGGUAACGGCCUACCAAGGCUGCGAUGCAUAGCCGAACGGAGAGGGCGGGUAGCCACACUGGGACGGAGACACGGCACAGAGUGCCAGAGGAAGGAGCCGGGGGGAAUCGUGGGGAAGGGGCGGAAGGCUGACCGAGCUACGCCGAGGGAGGGAAGAAGGAUGUCGGAUCGGAAAACUCGGUUGUUAGAGAAGAAAAAGGAUGAGAGUGGAAAGUUCAGCGCUUGACGGUAACUAAUCAGAAAGCCACGGCUAACUACGUG